rnacentral:rRNA from 1 species
UACAGAGGGUGCGAGCGUUAAUCGGAAUUACUGGGCGUAAAGCGUGCGUAGACGGUUGUCUAAGUCGGAUGUGAAAUCCCCGGGCUCAACCUGGGAAUUGCAUUCGAGACUGCAUAGCUAGGAUGCGGAAGAGGGAAGCGGAAUUUCCGGUGUAGCGGUGAAAUGCGUAGAUAUCGGGAGGAACACCGGUGGCGAAGGCGGCUCUCUGGACCACUACUGACGCUGAGGCGCGAAAGCUAGGGGAGCAAACAGG